AGCAGCCGCGGUAAUUCCAGCUCCAAUAGCGUAUAUUAAAGUUGUUGCAGUUAAAAAAGCUCGUAGUUGAAUUUCGGGAUCAAUACGUCGGUCGUGCUUCGGUACGUACUGGCGUAAUUGAUUUCUCCCUUCUGACGAACCAUGAUGUCAUUAACUUGGUGUCAUGGGAAAUCAGGACUGUUACUUUGAAAAAAAUUAGAGUGUUUAAAGCAGGCUCACGCUUGAAUACAUUAGCAUGGAAUAAUGAAAAUAGGACGUUCGAUCCUAUUUUGUUGGUUUCUAGGAUUGACGUAAUGAUUAAUAGGGAUAGUUGGGGGCAUUAGUAUUCAAUUGUCAGAGGUGAAAUUCUUGGAUUUAUUGAAGACUAACUACUGCGAAAGCAUUUGCCAAGGAUG
rnacentral:rRNA from 1 species